rnacentral:rRNA from 1 species
GGUUGAUCCUGCCAGUAGUCAUAUGCUUGUUUCGAAGAUUAAGCCAUGCAAGUCUAAGUAUAAGUUUUAAUACAACGAAACUGCGAAAAGCUCAUUAUAACACUUAUAACCAUUGCGACGUAUAGUUAUAUGGAUAUCCAUGGUAACUCUGGAGUUAAUACAUGCACUAUGCCACUCGUUGGUACUGUCAUGAUAAUAUUCUGUCAAGGCUUGCCUUGUCUAUGAAUGACGUGACGUUGAUAAUUGCUUUUGCAAUAAGUCGCUUUUGUUUGUGACCUAUCAGCUUUGUUGG